GGGGAUGUGGCUUAGUGGUAAAGUGCUUGCCUCUCAUGCAUGAAGCCUGGGGUUCAAUUCCUCAGCACCA
rnacentral:tRNA from 1 species